UGGGGAAUAUUGGACAAUGGGGGCAACCCUGAUCCAGCAAUGCCGCGUGUGUGAAGAAGGCCUUCGGAUUGUAAAGCACUUUCGACGGGGACGAUGAUGACGGUACCCGUAUAAGAAGCCCCGGCUAACUUCGUGCCAGCAGCCGCGGUAAUACGAAGGGGGCUAGCGUUGCUCGGAAUGACUGGGCGUAAAGGGCGCGUAGGCGGCAUACACAGUCAGAUGUGAAAUUCCUGGGCUUAACCUGGGGGCUGCAUUUGAUACGUGUAGGCUAGAGUGGGGAAGAGGGUUGUGGAAUUCCCAGUGUAGAGGUGAAAUUCGUAGAUAUUGGGAAGAACACCGGUGGCGAAGGCGGCAACCUGGUCCUUGACUGACGCUGAGGUGCGAAAGCGUGGGGAGCAAACA
rnacentral:rRNA from 1 species